rnacentral:rRNA from 1 species
AACGAACGCUGGCGGCAGGCCUAACACAUGCAAGUCGAGCGCACCUUCGGGUGAGCGGCGGACGGGUUAGUAACGCGUGGGAACGUACCCGGAUCUAAGGAAUAGCCACUGGAAACGGUGAGUAAUACCUUAUACGCCCUUCGGGGGAAAGAUUUAUCGGAUUUGGAUCGGCCCGCGUUAGAUUAGGUAGUUGGUGGGGUAAUGGCCUACCAAGCCUACGAUCUAUAGCUGGUUUUAGAGGAUGAUCAGCAACACUGGACUGAGACACGGCCCAGACUCCUACGGGAGGCAGCAGUGGGGAAUCUUAGACAAUGGGGGAAACCCUGAUCUAGCCAUGCCGCGUGAGUGAUGAAGGUCUUAGGAUCGUAAAGCUCUUUCGCCAGGGAUGAUAAUGACAGUACCUGGUAAAGAAACCCCGGCUAACUCCGUGCCAGCAGCCGCGGUAAUACGGAGGGGGUUAGCGUUGAUCAGAAUUACUGGGCGUAAAGCGCGCGUAGGCGGAUCGGAAAGUUGGGGGUGAAAUCCCGGGGCUCAACCCCGGAACUGCCUCCAAAACUAUCGGUCUAGAGUUCGAGAGAGGUGAGUGGAACUCCGAGUGUAGAGGUGAAAUUCGUAGAUAUUCGGAAGAACACCAGUGGCGAAGGCGGCUCACUGGCUCGAUACUGACGCUGAGGUGCGAAAGUGUGGGGAGCAAACAGGAUUAGAUACCCUGGUAGUCCACACCGUAAACGAUGAAUGCCAGUCGUCGGGCAGUAUACUGUUCGGUGACACACCUAACGGAUUAAGCAUUCCGCCUGGGGAGUACGGUCGCAAGAUUAAAACUCAAAGGAAUUGACGGGG